rnacentral:rRNA from 1 species
UACGUAGGGUCCGAGCGUUGUCCGGAAUUAUUGGGCGUAAAGAGCUCGUAGGCGGUUCGUCGCGUCGGCUGUGAAAACCUGAGGCUCAACCUCAGGCCUGCAGUCGAUACGGGCGGACUUGAGUACUGCAGGGGAGACUGGAAUUCCUGGUGUAGCGGUGAAAUGCGCAGAUAUCAGGAGGAACACCGGUGGCGAAGGCGGGUCUCUGGGCAGUAACUGACGCUGAGGAGCGAAAGCGUGGGGAGCGAACAGG